GAUGAACGCUGGCGGCGUGCCUAAUACAUGCAAGUCGAGCGAACGGACGAGAAGCUUGCUUCUCUGAUGUUAGCGGCGGACGGGUGAGUAACACGUGGAUAACCUACCUAUAAGACUGGGAUAACUUCGGGAAACCGGAGCUAAUACCGGAUAAUAUUUUGAACCGCAUGGUUCAAAAGUGAAAGACGGUCUUGCUGUCACUUAUAGAUGGAUCCGCGCUGCAUUAGCUAGUUGGUAAGGUAACGGCUUACCAAGGCAACGAUGCAUAGCCGACCUGAGAGGGUGAUCGGCCACACUAGAACUGAGACACGGUCCAGACUCCUACGGGAGGCAGCAGUAGGGAAUCUGCCGCAAUGGGCGAAAGCCUGACGGAGCAACGCCGCGUGAGUGAUGAAGGUCUUCGGAUCGUAAAACUCUGUUAUUAGGGAAGAACAUAUGUGUAAGUAACUGUGCACAUCUUGACGGUACCUAAUCAGAAAGCCACGGCUAACUACGUG
rnacentral:rRNA from 1 species